rnacentral:tRNA from 1 species
UCACUGGUGGUCCAGUGGCUAAGACUCUGAACUCCCAAUGCAGGGGACCCAGGUUCAAUCCCUGGUUCGGGAA